rnacentral:rRNA from 1 species
ACUCCUCGGGAGGCAGCAGUGGGGAAUAUUGGACAAUGGGCGCAAGCCUGGUCCAGCAAUGCCGCGUGGGUGAAGAAGGUCUUCGGAUUGUAAAGCCCUUUCGACGGGGACGAUGAUGACGGUACCCGUAGAAGAAGCCCCGGCUAACUUCGUGCCAGCAGCCGCGGUAAUACGAAGGGGGCUAGCGUUGCUCGGAAUGACUGGGCGUAAAGGGCGCGUAGGCGGUUUGUACAGUCAGAUGUGAAAUUCCCGGGCUCAACCUGGGGGCUGCAUUUGAUACGUAUAGACUUGAGUUCGGAAGAGGGUCGUGGAAUUCCCAGUGUAGAGGUGAAAUUCGUAGAUAUUGGGAAGAACACCGGUGGCGAAGGCGGCGACCUGGUCCGAUACUGACGCUGAGGCGCGAAAGCGUGGGGAGCAAACAGGAUUAGAUACCCUGGUAGUCCGCGCUGUAAACGAUGUGUGCUGGAUGUUGGGUGACCUAGUCAUUCAAUGUCGUANCUAACGCGAUAAGUACACCGCCGGGGGAGUACGGGGCGCAAGGUUGGAUCUCAGAGGAGUUGACGGGGGCCCGCACAAACCGAGCAUCAGGUUUGUGUGGGCAAAACAAAGUACAACAAAGCUUCCAAUGACGUCAAAUGGAGAGGACUGGAGAGGAGAUCGUUUGGAUCCAGAGGGGCUCCUGAGG